rnacentral:hammerhead_ribozyme from 1 species
AUCCAGCUGAUGUGUCGUAAAUAGAACGAAACGCGUAUCCUAGAU